GAAAACUUCCAAGCGCACGCAGGCAGAGAGAGAGAGAGAGAGAGGGAGAGAGAAGCGAGCCGAAGCGGGAAUGCGCGAUCACCUCCGUGCCCACCCCCCUCCCCGCUCCUCCUUCCCUCCGUCGCCGCAGUCACCGGCGACCGACUUGACCUGAGCGAACGCUUUGUUCUUGUGGGCUCCAUACGUACUUAUGCACUAUGGAGAGAUUGCUACUUAUAUGGUUGCUGAUUUUGGAGGUAACUGUUCAGAAAUCACCAAAGUACAAAAAUGUCCACCAGCUUUGACAUCUGUUGGCACAAAUGCGCAGCCGCAGGUCAACAACUGAUGGCACUGUCUCUAAAAGUGUAAAGGACUAAUGCUGAUUGUUUAGAAUGUUAAAAAUAACGGAAAUUAACUUGACAGCUGCAGCCCCCUAACAUUGGAGUACUUUCUUGGCUACAGGCUUCCCCAGUGUGCUUUCAUAUGCUUAUCAUCAUGCUGAUGUCAUAUAGAGGGAAGAACCUUCAGCACGUUAUCAAGCAGGAAUAUAUCUUUGUCCUGUCUUUUGUGUUUUCCUGCUAAUGCUGUGUAAUAUUUGAUUUUCUUCUAAAAAGGAUCUCUUAUGAGUUUGAAUUCUUCCUUUGCCUAAAGUUCACAUAUUUAGCAAACCAAAUCAGUUUUAUCCGAAUGUGCUUUUUUUAUCCUUUUUUUUCUUUUUUUUUUUAACGUAAAUUUGAUCAUGAUCAAUUGUGUUAUGGCUUGUGCCAAAUGGAAUCAGUGAACUGGUUUUUGGAUAUUCUUUAUUCCAUCGGACCUCUGAAUAGCAUAAAACUAUGAUAUCCCAGAUUCUAACUCUACCUUAUUUUUUGUGGCUCGAUUAAUUUUGUGAUAUUAUUUUUUCUGUUCUGUUAUCUUCCACUCGCUAAUGAUGAUGUUAGUUGGACACCAUUGUACCACUGUUGGCAAUGGCAAUGUUGAGACUAAAUAUUAAAUAUAAAUUAAAUGUCUUUUCCAUCUGGAAGAGCACUGUCGUUCCUCAGUUGCUAUUUUUAUGGCUUGCUACGUCUACUUCCCUUUUAUACUUCUUUUUUGCUUCCCUUUUAAUUGAUAUGUUCAUUUUUGAAACCUGCAGAUACAUCCAAUAAUGCAGUUCAUGCGUCCAAGCAGGCACAUGAUAUAAACAAAGGAAAUUAAAGUGCAUACGCCACAUAAGUUGAAACAUCCUGGUAACUCACUGGAUCACUUCUCCCUGGGAAAAGCCUCGGUCAAUCAUCACAGUUGGGGUCCUGGGGAAAAAGAGGUUGCAUCAGAUGUUCGUAUUCCAGGACAGAGAGCAUCUUCCUUUUGUUUAUCUCGGGCAGCUAGCUAGCAAUUCUAAUCAGAAAUCUUUACUUCUCCCUCCAACAAGAAGCUGCAUGUUGCAGGCGCUGAAUAUGUCCGCGAUCAGUUAAGAAUUGGGCUUCCUGUAAUUACACAGAUAAUUGGGCAGGUACAAGAAUAAUGAUUUGUCUGAUUGACUGGCGCUAGCGUCAAUGGGGGGGCACUGAUCAUUGCUGGGGGAAAUUCAUUGCCUGUGGAUUCCUUUUCUGAAAUUUCGAGUGCAAAAAAGGGUCCACUGGAGGAGACGGUUUUUUGGAGUAUAGUAUUCACGAUGAGCUAGUCAAAGCACGUAUUAUUGUUGGUAUCUUUGCUUGUCUGAUAAAAGAAAGUUUUUAUCCAUGAUUCCAUGAUUACGACUGUAAUGGCAUCCUAAUGUGCCCAUGUGAUAGCGGAUACUCAUCUCCAAUUAAACAAACGCUUCACGAAUCA